UGCAGUGUCUUGAAAAAAGUAAUUGGAUAAUAAUAAUGUAGCUUAUUAACUAAAGUACGUGAAAAAAAUGUGUUGGGCUUAAGUAGAAUAUAGUUGAUGUAUCUAAUAGGACUUGUCAGAAAAGAUCAAGGUGGUUUCUACAUGUUAACACAAUCAGCAGACACUUCAGCUACAGUAAUAACACAAACUUCAUCAGGAAAGGUUUAUUGUUCUUGUUUACAAACUUUUUGUAAUGACCACCCAAGUGUUAGUUUAUGCAAACUUGCUUCUCAGUCAUGCAAUUAUGUAAGUACAACAUCUACUUUAAUUUCAACAACAACUGAUAUAUCUUCAACAACCACUAUAACAACUACUACUCCAGAAUCAAUCACAAUUUCUACUCCAGAAUCAACCACAACUACUACUCCAGAGUCAACCACAACUACUAAUACUACAGAAUCAACAACAACUAUUACUUCAGAAUCAACCACAACUACUUCUCCAGGUUCAACCACAACUUCUACUCCAGAGUCAACCACAGCUACUAAUACUACAGAAUUAACCACAACUACUACUCCAGAGUCAACCACAACUACUAAUACUACAGAAUCAACUACAACUAUUACUUCAGAAUCAACCACAACUACUUCUCCAGGUUCAACCACAACUACUACUCCAGAGUCAACCACAACUUCUACUACUACAGAAUCAACUACAACUAUUACUUCAGAAUCAACCACAACUACUUCUCCAGGUUCAACCACAACCACUACUCCAGAGUCAACCACAACUACUAAUACUACAGAAUUAACCACAACUACUACUCCAGAGUCAACCACAACUACUAAUACUACAGAAUCAACCACAACUACUUCUCCAGGUUCAACCACAACCACUACUCCAGAGUCAACCACAACUACUAAUACUACAGAAUUAACCACAACUACUACUCCAGAGUCAAUCACAACUACUAAUACUACAGAAUCAACUACAACUACUUCUCCAGAAUCAACCACAACUACUUCUCCAGAAUCAACCACAAGUAUAACAGCAACAUUUCCAGUUACAUCGGAUGAAGUUCUAUACACAAUAGAACAAAUUCACUGCCCUUGUUUUUUAAAUCUAUGUAUGGAUAACCAAAAUGUAAACUGUUCAAUUGUAUAUCAAUCAUGUUCAAAUACAACAACUGAAGCUUCUACAACAACUAUAACUGCUUCUUCUUUAACAACAACUGUAUGGCCAGCUGAAGCAACAACUACAACUGAACCUCCAACUAUAACUACUGGAGCAACAACAACAACUAAAACUUCAACCACAACAACUGAAGCCAUAACAACAACAACUGAAGGCACAACAACAGCUGAAACAACAACAACUGAAGCU